UAGUACUCACUUCAUCUCAGGUAAUACUGCAGUACUACUGCAGUACUACUGUAGUACUCACUUCAUCUCAGGUAAUACCGCGGUACUACUGUAGUACUCACUUCAUCUCAGGUAAUACUGCAGUACUACUGUAGUACUCACUUCAUCUCAGGUAAUACUGCAGUACUACUGCAGCACUACUGUAGUACUCACUUCAUCUCAGGUAAUACCGCGGUACUACUGUAGUACUCACUUCAUCUCAGGUAAUACUGCAGUACUACUGUAGUACUCACUUCAUCUCAGGUAAUACCGCGGUACUACUGUAGUACUCACUUCAUCUCAGGUAAUACUGCUGUACUACUGCAGUACUACUGUAGUACUCACUUCAUCUCAGGUAAUACCGCGGUACUACUGUAGUACUCACUUCAUCUCAG
ensembl:lncRNA